CUGGAGGAUCUUGGAGAGAAAGGGGAGCUUAGAUAUAGGUCUGUAGUUUGCUAAAACCUCAGGAUCGAGGGUGUUUUGUUUCAGAAAAGGUUUUAUCACAGCUACUUUAAAUGACUGCGGUACAUAACCUGGUAAUAAAGACAUAUUGAUCAUAUCUAAUAAUAAAGUGUUAACCACAGGUAAUGCUUCUUUAAGUAGCCUCGUUGGGAUGAGGUCUAAGAGACAGGUCUAUGGCUUAGCUGAACAUACUUUUAACAUUAAUUAUUGCAGGUCUAUAGGAUAAAAGCAGUCUAAGUA